rnacentral:rRNA from 1 species
ACCAGCGGCGAUAGCACGUUGAAUAUAUACCAGUUCCCGAUGGAUCACUGAAGCUAAGCAACGUUGCGCGUGGUUGGUAUCCAGCGGCGAUAGCACGUUGAAUAUAUACCAGUUCCCGAUGGAU